CUGUGAGCUCGAUGAGUAGGGCGGGACACGUGGUAUCCUGUCUGAAUAUGGGGGGACCAUCCUCCAAGGCUAAAUACUCCUGACUGACCGAUAGUGAACCAGUACCGUGAGGGAAAGGCGAAAAGAACCCCGGCGAGGGGAGUGAAAAAGAACCUGAAACCGUGUACGUACAAGCAGUGGGAGCACGCUUAGGCGUGUGACUGCGUACCUUUUGUAUAAUGGGUCAGCGACUUAUAUUCUGUAGCAAGGUUAACCGAAUAGGGGAGCCGAAGGGAAACCGAGUCUUAACUGGGCGUUAAGUUGCAGGGUAUAGACCCGAAACCCGGUGAUCUAGCCAUGGGCAGGUUGAAGGUUGGGUAACACUAACUGGAGGACCGAACCGACUAAUGUUGAAAAAUUAGCGGAUGACUUGUGGCUGGGGGUGAAAGGCCAAUCAAACCGGGAGAUAGCUGGUUCUCCCCGAAAGCUAUUUAGGUAGCGCCUCGUGAAUUCAUCUCCGGGGGUAGAGCACUGUUUCGGCAAGGGGGUCAUCCCGACUUACCAACCCGAUGCAAACUGCGAAUACCGGAGAAUGUUAUCACGGGAGACACACGGCGGGUGCUAACGUCCGUCGUGAAGAGGGAAACAACCCAGACCGCCAGCUAAGGUCCCAAAGUCAUGGUUAAGUGGGAAACGAUGUGGGAAGGCCCAGACAGCCAGGAUGUUGGCUUAGAAGCAGCCAUCAUUUAAAGAAAGCGUAAUAGCUCACUGGUCGAGUCGGCCUGCGCGGAAGAUGUAACGGGGCUAAACCAUGCACCGAAGCUGCGGCAGCGACGCUGAUGCGUUGUUGGGUAGGGGAGCGUUCUGUAAGCCUGUGAAGGUGUGCUGUGAGGCAUGCUGGAGGUAUCAGAAGUGCGAAUGCUGACAUAAGUAACGAUAAAGCGGGUGAAAAGCCCGCUCGCCGGAAGACCAAGGGUUCCUGUCCAACGUUAAUCGGGGCAGGGUGAGUCGACCCCUAAGGCGAGGCCGAAAGGCGUAGUCGAUGGGAAACAGGUUAAUAUUCCUGUACUUGGUGUUACUGCGAAGGGGGGACGGAGAAGGCUAUGUUGGCCGGGCGACGGUUGUCCCGGUUUAAGCGUGUAGGCUGGUUUUCCAGGCAAAUCCGGAAAAUCAAGGCUGAGGCGUGAUGACGAGGCACUACGGUGCUGAAGCAACAAAUGCCCUGCUUCCAGGAAAAGCCUCUAAGCAUCAGGUAACAUCAAAUCGUACCCCAAACCGACACAGGUGGUCAGGUAGAGAAUACCAAGGCGCUUGAGAGAACUCGGGUGAAGGAACUAGGCAAAAUGGUGCCGUAACUUCGGGAGAAGGCACGCUGAUAUGUAGGUGAAGCGACUUGCUCGUGGAGCUGAAAUCAGUCGAAGAUACCAGCUGGCUGCAACUGUUUAUUAAAAACACAGCACUGUGCAAACACGAAAGUGGACGUAUACGGUGUGACGCCUGCCCGGUGCCGGAAGGUUAAUUGAUGGGGUCAGCGCAAGCGAAGCUCUUGAUCGAAGCCCCGGUAAACGGCGGCCGUAACUAUAACGGUCCUAAGGUAGCGAAAUUCCUUGUCGGGUAAGUUCCGACCUGCACGAAUGGCGUAAUGAUGGCCAGGCUGUCUCCACCCGAGACUCAGUGAAAUUGAACUCGCUGUGAAGAUGCAGUGUACCCGCGGCAAGACGGAAAGACCCCGUGAACCUUUACUAUAGCUUGACACUGAACAUUGAGCCUUGAUGUGUAGGAUAGGUGGGAGGCUUUGAAGUGUGG
rnacentral:rRNA from 1 species